GGCAGGCUAGAGUGAUGGUUCCAUUGAAGCUUCGGGGCAGCAGAGCAGCCUCGCUCAGCUGAGGGCUCCGCACCACAACAAGAUUUACUUUAAGACACAGCUGAAGGAAACAGGAAGACUACACGUCACAGUCUGAAUGACGUGGGCCAGGCCAAGCGCCCAAUCGGGAGGCUCCUUCGGAUUGAAGGGGGGAUAGUGAACCGAGAACUUGGGAGGAAAAAAAAAAAAAGAGGGCUGGGGGGAGAAAGAGGAGGAGAAACUGGAUCCCUUCCCCAGCCCCCCACCCAGUGCUGCAGGGAAGGAGACUUUAUCACCUAAUCUGGUGCUUCCAUUGAGAGAGCCAUCUGCAAGCAGCAGCAGCUAAGAGCAGCACUUGAUCUACUUCUGAAUCUUGCCACUCACUCCAGGUCCUGCAGUGCAUGGCAGAUCAGUUACCUAAAGAGCCGCAAAGCUCGUCUGGGUGAUGUUACUGCACAGCAAAAGCUGCACCGCAGUUAUGGAUAAGUAAAUGAAAGGAGACACCCUACCUCAGCUAUUUAGUAAUUUGGGGGCGGGGGUAUUUCAAGAUAAAGUAACUUAAAAAAAAAAACGGAAAUAGAGAAAAGUCUUCAGCAAAGUGAGGAGUGCUGACCAAGGCAUACACACCGCAGGAAAAGAGGGAAAAACAAACCUUUGGAAGGAAAAGUCAGAGCAGACAGGUUAAGCCGCUUUGAAAAAGGAUCUCUGGACUCGUCUACGGGAGGGAUCUUUGCACAAUGAUGUAGCCAUGACAUCAGUGUAUCUGCUGCAGUGUAGAUAUGCUGGUAUGAAGUGGGGCGUAUUCCAGUUUGAAGUUGCACCCGUGAACACCCUGCUUUACACCCAUGGAGCACAUCCCCACUGAGUAUUUGCAGAAGUGUAGCUACAUAGCUGCAAAGAUCCCUAACACAGACAAGCUGUCAGUAACUAUGGGGAAGGAAAGGUAAGGGGAGAAGGCUAAAACUCAGAGUAAAAAGGCACGUGGGUAGAUUUACCUUUCUGGUUGUAAAUUGCUCACUUCUGGGAUAGGGCCAGGUUUUGACUGAGAGAGAAAAUAGUUCAAAUCUGUCAAUAAUUAACUGUCACAGAAUUAGUGCUAUCUCAACAAAUUGUCACUUGGUAACACCUCAGGUUCAGACUUUUCCUGGGAAAAGAUUGGUUGAGUGGCACUGGCCAUUACAUUUACCUACCCAUCAAGUGUAGUUUAACAUCCUGCUCAUUCUAAACAUUUCAUGCCUGAUGCAUUUACCCAUAAUCCAUAUUUUUGGGAGAGUAUUUUUUAAGAUUAGCCGUUCGCACUUUUCCAAUUCCUGAAAUGCAGCAUUAUUACAAUGCAUGUACAGAUGAACAAUAUGGACUAGAUUUUCUCCUCCACUGAGGUCCGCUAAAUGAGACACCUGUGGCCAACAACUAUUGGUUAUAGAUUCCUGAUUCAGAAGCUGUCAUGAUCCUGGUCCUGACAUAAAUUAGAACAACGAUGGGGCUGCUUGGAUUUCCAACAGUUGGCUAAGAGCCCUCGGGGACCAUACACCAUCUGUAAAUUGGUGGAGUAAAGUUAUGUACUCUACCUCAUUCUCUCCCUGCUCUUUCAUGCCUUUUCCAUCCCCUGACAUGCCAUCUCUCCCCUUAUGAUGGGGUGGUUGGGAAGAUUGGAACAGGAGUGGGCACUAUUGGCUUUAUCCCAUGGAUAGUUCUCUCCUACCAGGAGAGUCUUGGCCGGCAGCUGUGUCCAGAUUCUGAUCUCAUCUGACUCUAUAACCUUAUUUGGCCUUGCAACCAGAUUUCACCAGGGCCUGUGAGGUAGAAUGUGUUAUUAAUAGUAUUACAAUGCUCGGUUUUUAUUAUUUUCUCUCCCUCUCUCUUUAAAAAUCAUUCUAUAAUAAUAGAGGUGGUGUUGGUAUCCAGUGUGUAAUCAGCAUCUUGUUAAUACUUUCACACAUUACAGAAGUAGCAAGUGCUGGCCUUAUUAUUGGAAUGUCAUCCCACGCUGACUCUUACUUUUCCAUUUUAAAAUUGUAAGUGAAUUGUCAGUGUGGACCAGAUCCAGUGGAGCUCCGCUGAAUUACAGCAGCUGACGAUAUGGAACAAUACUUGUGAAAGUUGCUGGAUUGACAGACCAGGAAACUGUGUGGUGUGGUGUGUUACAGUAAACUAUACAGUAAACUAUAUAGUAGAUGCUAGGAGUCCAGACUUCCUGAUAAAUUGUCACGCCAACAUACCACAAUCCUGCUGAAGACGGAUCCACCUCUUGGAGGUUAGAAGACAAUUUGUUCUUGAUACCCAUUCAUAAAUCAAGCACAACACCGUGCCCAAUGUAGCUUUUGGUUCCUUCCCCACCAUAAAGAAGACCUUGUGACUCUAACUGA